rnacentral:lncRNA from 1 species
GAGCAAGUCCAAGAGUGUCUUAGUUGAUGCCCUAAAUAUAACAUAAAAUAUCAUGUCCUAGUAUUUUAGGACAUACUUUGCCAACUUGAACUCCAACAAUGUGCCUUAUUCUUACAAGAUGUUUAAUAUUUUAUUAUUAAAGACUCUCUUCCAUCAUUAAAGCAUAAUAUAAAAAUAGAGAGAGAAAUUGAGUGUUGAUGUGAUUUUAUAAUAAAAUAUAUUAUAGGGCAAGGAGAGAGGUGCCUCAAAAAUAGGGCUUGAGAAUGUUGUCCUAGUGAUAUAAGGCAUCACUAGGACAUUGUUGGAGCAACUUUUUUCAUCAAAUGCCCUAAAUAAUAACUUAGGACAUGAGAUAGGGCAUCUCUUGGACUUGCUCUUAG